GACGAACCGUGCGAACGUUGUUCGGAAUCACUGGGCUUAAAGGGCGCGUAGGCGGGCAUUCAAGUCAGGGGUGAAAUCCUCCAGCUUAACUGGAGAACUGCCUUUGAUACUGGGUGCCUCGAGUGAGGUAGGGGCGUGCGGAACUGAUGGUGGAGCGGUGAAAUGUGUUGAUAUCAUCAGGAACUCCGGUGGCGAAAGCGGCGCGCUGGACCUUAACUGACGCUGAGGUGCGAAAGCGUGGGGAGCAAACAGG
rnacentral:rRNA from 1 species